GCCGGGUGCGUUGGCCCACGCCAGUAAUCCCAGUUUCUAGGGAGGCUGAGGCAGGAGAAUCACAAGUUCAAAGCCAGCCUCAGCAAAAGCGAGGUGCUAAGCAACUCAGUGAGAACCUGCCUCUA
rnacentral:sRNA from 1 species